rnacentral:snRNA from 1 species
AUACUUACCUGACAGGCGAGUACCAUGAUCACGAAGGUUGUUUUCCCAGGGCAAGCUUAUCGAUUACACUCCAGAUGUGCUGACCCCUGCAAUUUCCCCAAGUUCGGGAAACUCGACUGCAUAAUUUGUGGUAGUUGGGGACUGCGUUCUGCUCUCCCCUA